CCUACGGGUGGCUGCAGUGGGGAAUAUUGGACAAUGGGCGCAAGCCUGAUCCAGCAAUACCGCGUGUGUGAAGAAGGCCUUAGGGUUGUAAAGCACUUUCAAUGGGGAGGAAAACCUACCGGUCAAUACCCGGUAGCUUGACAUUACCUGUAGAAGAAGCACCGGCUAACUCCGUGCCAGCAGCCGCGGUAAUACGGAGGGUGCAAGCGUUAAUCGGAAUUACUGGGCGUAGGUUCGGUAAGGGCGGUGCGAAAGCCCCGGGCUUAACCUGGGAACUGCAGUUGAAACUGGCGGACUAGAGUGGAGUAGAGGGGAGUGGAAUUUCAGGUGUAGCGGUGAAAUGCGUAGAUAUCUGAAGGAACACCAGUGGCGAAGGCGACUCCCUGGACUCAAACUGACGCUGAGGUACGAAAGCGUGGGUAGCAAACAGGAUUAGAUACCCUGGUAGUC
rnacentral:rRNA from 1 species